rnacentral:rRNA from 1 species
AAUGGGGGCAACCCUGACCCAGCCAUGCCGCGUGCAGGAAGACGGCCUCUGGGUUGUAAACUGCUUUUGCCAGGGGCUAAUAAGGUACUAUACGUACCGAUGCAGGUACCUGGAGAAUAAGCACCGGCUAACUACGUGCCAGCAGCCGCGGUAAUACGUAGGGUGCAAGCGUUGUCCGGAUUUAUUGGGUUUAAAGGGUGCGCAGGCGGCGCGCUCAGUCCGUGGUGAAAUGGCCCCGCUCAACGGGGUCCCCGCCAUGGAUACUGGUGCGCUUGAGUUCGCCAGAGGGGGCUAGAAUGCGUGGUGUAGCGGUGAAAUGCAUAGAUAUCACGCAGAAUACCGAUUGCGAAGGCAGGCCCCUAUGGCGCGACUGACGCUGAGGCACGAAAGCGUGGGGAGCGAACAGGAUU